AGUGAACGCUGGCGGUAGGCCUAACACAUGCAAGUCGAACGGCAGCACAGUAAGAGCUUGCUCUUACGGGUGGCGAGUGGCGGACGGGUGAGGAAUACAUCGGAAUCUACUUUUUCGUGGGGGAUAACGUAGGGAAACUUACGCUAAUACCGCAUACGACCUACGGGUGAAAGCAGGGGAUCUUCGGACCUUGCGCGAUUGAAUGAGCCGAUGUCGGAUUAGCUAGUUGGCGGGGUACAGGCCCACCAAGGCGACGAUCCGUAGCUGGUCUGAGAGGAUGAUCAGCCACACUGGAACUGAGACACGGUCCAGACUCCUACGGGAGGCAGCAGUGGGGAAUAUUGGACAAUGGGCGCAAGCCUGAUCCAGCCAUACCGCGUGGGUGAAGAAGGCCUUCGGGUUGUAAAGCCCUUUUGUUGGGAAAGAAAAGCAGCAGGUUAAUACCCCGCUGUGCUGACGGUACCCAAAGAAUAAGCACCGGCUAACUUCGUG
rnacentral:rRNA from 1 species